CCCUUCGAUGUUCUGGGCUGCACGCGUGUUACAAUCGGGAGUACAACAAGAUUGCAAAUCCUAGUGGAUGAGUGGUUCUUCGAAAUUUUCUGAAGACUGGGAUAGUUGAUUGAAAUUAUUCAACUCAAACGAGGAAUUCCUUGUAAUUGUAAUUCAUUAUAUUGUAAUGAAUACGUCCCUGCCCUUUGUACACACCGCCCGUCGCUCCUACCGAUUGAACGAUCCGGUGAAUUAUUUGGAGUAGCUCUGGAAGUUGCAGAACUUCCUAUGUCACGAAAUUUUGUAAACCUUAUCGUUUAGAGGAAGGAAAAGUCGUAACA
rnacentral:rRNA from 1 species